AACGAACGCUGGCGGCAUGCCUAACACAUGCAAGUCGAACGAGACCUUCGGGUCUAGUGGCGCACGGGUGCGUAACGCGUGGGAACCUGCCCUUAGGUUCGGAAUAACUCCCCGAAAGGGGUGCUAAUACCGGAUAAUGUCUUCGGACCAAAGAUUUAUCGCCUUUGGAUGGGCCCGCGUUGGAUUAGCUAGUUGGUAGGGUAAAAGCCUACCAAGGCGACGAUCCAUAGCUGGUCUGAGAGGAUGAUCAGCCACACUGGGACUGAGACACGGCCCAGACUCCUACGGGAGGCAGCAGUGGGUAAUAUUGUACAAUGGGCGAAAGCCUGAUCCAGCAAUGCCGCGUGAGUGAUGAAGGCCUUAGGGUUGUAAAGCUCUUUUACCCGGGAUGAUAAUGACAGUACCGGGAGAAUAAGCUCCGGCUAACUCCGUG
rnacentral:rRNA from 1 species